rnacentral:lncRNA from 1 species
UACUAAGUAACUCUUGCAAAAGAUUUCAAGAUCUCACAAAUAUAUUAAAAAGAUAUUAUUGGGGAUCCUUGGGGAUCCCCAGUAUUUGUCUAUUUUAAUUUCUAGUCCAUCAGUCAGGAUGUUUCAAUUCUACCAAGUUUAAAAUUCCAGUUUUUCUAACCAAGAAGGAAAUGAAAUUUCAAAAAAAAAAAAAAAAGAAAUGAAAUUUCAAUAAAUAUUCACAACACAAUAAUAUAACAAAUCAAUCAAAAGCUCACGUUUGAAAGGGCCAUGACGGGUGUAUCUUUUCAGUUAUUAAGUUGCCAUGAAGGGAGUCCAGACGUUGUUGGCUUCUUUUAAGCCAGAAAGGUUGUUUUCAGUCAUUUAGUCAUUAGUGUUAAAAUCGUAUUAUAUAAUUCAAAACAUUGCUUCCCCCCAUGUGUAUGAAAUGCCUAGAUAUUUCUCAAACCUUUCCAUUCAUCUCAAUCCUUGCGGCUGCUAUCUAGGUUGCAGUUAUUAGGGAUUGAAUCGUAUUCUCCAAAACAGGUAGGUUGAAAUCCUAAUGCACGGUACCUCAGAUCGUGACCUUAUUUGGACCUAGAGUUUUUACAGAGAUACUCAAGUUAAAAUGAAGCCAUUAGAGUGGGUCCUGUUUCAUUAUGACUGAUGUCCCUAGCAAGUGGAGACAGACAACAUAGAGCACGAAGACAAUGAGAAGAUCACCGUGGGACGGUAGAGGCGGAGACCUGGCAGGUGCGGCUACAAGCAAAGACACAGCCAGGAUUGCUGCCCUUCAGCAGAAACUGGGAAGGAAUCUACCCAGAGUCUCAAGGCAAGCAUCAGUCUGUGACAUCUGGCUUUAUCUUCUAGACUCCAGAACUGUGAGACAAGACUUUUCUAUCGUUUCCACGGGUUAUCGUGCUUUGUUACAAGAGCUCUGGAAAACUAGUAAAGAAACCAUCAGGGCCAUCGCUCCAUCUAGCUUGGGUUAAUGCAAUACAUGACUGCCAGGUACUGCUGUGAAGGUCAUGCCGUGCACGAGCGGAGGGGCACCAGUCACGAAGGCUGCCGUGGCGGUGCUGCCCGGGAGGACUGCCCUGUGCAGCAGCCACCUUGUGUGCAAA